UUUGGGGGAGUCAAAAGUUAAACUUGAAUCUUCAACCGUGUAGGUGGUCAGUGUCCCUAACCCUGCAUUGUUUUAGGGUCAACUGUAUAUAAACAUAUAUAAUAUAUAUUACAUAUAUACGUAAAAACACACAUAUACAUACAUUAUAUAUACACACACAAAUACACAUAUAUAUGCACAUAAGCCAUUAGGCAAGACCUUGUGAUAUGGUUUGGUUGUGUUCCCACCCAAAUCUCAUUUUGAAUUGUAACUCCCAUAAUUCCCACGUGUUGUGGGAGGGACCUGGUGGGAGGGUUUCCCCUUUCACUUGGCUCUCAUAUUUCUGUCUUGUCUGCUGCCAGUAAGACGUGCCUUUCACCCUCUGCCAUGAUUGUGAGGCAUCCCUAGCCACGUGGAACUGUGAGUCCAUUAAACCUCUAUUUCUUUACAAAUUACCCAGUCUUCGGUAUGUCUUUAUCAGCAGCAUGAAAAUGGACUAAUACACCUCCAAAAUCUCAUGUUGAAUUU
rnacentral:lncRNA from 1 species